rnacentral:lncRNA from 1 species
GGGGUAAUAAAAAUGGCGCCAAUGGCAUUUCGGAAUGAGACCGUGAAUGAUGACUGAUUUCUUUAUUAAUACCAAUAAAAUAACAUCCAAACUACAUAAAACGUGAAGCUAGUGUACUAAACUUGUAAACUGUCGCUUCAAAUUUGUCAUGAUCGCAUUUUUUUUCAUCACAAAACGUUGGGCAAUGCAAUCGGAUAAUAUAAAAAAAAUGGCGCCAGUAGCAUUUUUCAAUGAUCGUGAAUUUGGCCAACGUAAUAAAACACUUUACAUACAAUAAAUCACUCUCAUAUUAGUUACUUCAUGUAAAAAAAUAUAUCUUCUUUAUGCUUAAACUUACCAGCUCAUUAAAGUUGUUGAACGUGUUGAAUUAUGUGGAUGAUUCAUUAGCAG